GAUGAACGCUGACAGAAUGCUUAACACAUGCAAGUCGACUCGAGUCUUCGGACUUGGGUGGCGCACGGGUGAGUAACGCGUAAAGAACUUGCCUCUUAGACCGGGACAACAUCUGGAAACGGAUGCUAAUACCGGAUAUUAUGAUUUUUUCGUAUGGAGGAAUCAUGAAAGCUAGAUGCGCUAAGAGAGAGCUUUGCGUCCCAUUAGCUAGUUGGUGAGGUAACGGCCCACCAAGGCAAUGAUGGGUAGCCGGCCUGAGAGGGUGAACGGCCACAAGGGGACUGAGACACGGCCCUUACUCCUACGGGAGGCAGCAGUGGGGAAUAUUGGACAAUGGACCACAAGUCUGAUCCAGCAAUUCUGUGUGCACGAUGACGUUUUUCGGAAUGUAAAGUGCUUUCAGUCGGGAAGAAGUCAGUGACGGUACCGACAGAAGAAGCGACGGCUAAAUACGUGCCAGCAGCCGCGGUAAUACGUAUGUCGCAAGCGUUAUCCGGAUUUAUUGGGCGUAAAGCGCGUCUAGGCGGCAAGGAAAGUCUGAUGUGAAAAUGCGGAGCUCAACUCCGUAUGGCGUUGGAAACUGCCUUACUAGAGUACUGGAGAGGUAGGCGGAACUACAAGUGUAGAGGUGAAAUUCGUAGAUAUUUGUAGGAAUGCCGAUGGGGAAGCCAGCCUACUGGACAGAUACUGACGCUAAAGCGCGAAAGCGUGGGUAGCAAACAGG
rnacentral:rRNA from 1 species